rnacentral:lncRNA from 1 species
CGGACGUCGAAAACGACUUUUUUAGGAUUUUCAAAGUGCUCUCAUUCCCUUAGUUCUGCUCGGAUCCUGUUAUAACCCGGUGUUUUCGUAAUCUAGGUGACCCAAAUAAGACGCUGGUAUACUUAGUUUGAUUUCAAAAAAAAUCAAUUUUUGGUGAAAAAAUUCGAUACGGGGGGGUAUACCCGAAAAAUGAAAAAACCCAAACUUUGAAGGUCGAUAUCUCGGCUUCUAUGGGAGCUAUCGGGAAAAUUCCAACGGUUUUGUCUUAGUUUUGUCAUUCUGAAUCCAACGAGACCAUCCGCAAGGUCGUAGCUCUUACGAUAGCCGAGAUAUGGCAUUUUUGAUGCCCAUUUUUGGCCUCAAAAACGGACGUCGAAAACAACUUUUUCAGGAUUUUCAAAGUGCUCUCAUUCCCUUAGUUCUGCUCGGAUCCUGUUAUAACCCGGUGUUUUCGUAAUCUAGGUGACCCA